rnacentral:rRNA from 1 species
GACGAACGCUGGCGGCGUGCUUAACACAUGCAAGUCGAACGAUGAAGCCUAGCAAUCUUUGGUUGUUGGGUGGAUUAGUGGCGAACGGGUGAGUAAUACGUGGGUAACCUGCCCUCCUUUUUGGGAUAAGCCUUGGAAACGGGGUCUAAUACCGAAUAUUCUGGCGCUCUCGCAUGGGGGUGUUGGGAAAGCUUUUGUGUGAAGGGGGAUGGGCUCGCGGCCUAUCAGCUUGUUGGUGGGGUGAUGGCCUACCAAGGCGGUGACGGGUAGCCGGCCUGAGAGGGUGACCGGCCACAUUGGGACUGAGAUACGGCCCAGACUCCUACGGGAGGCAGCAGUGGGGGAUAUUGCACAAUGGGCGAAAGCCUGAUGCAGCGACGCCGCGUGGGGGAUGAAGGCUUUCGGGUUGUAAACCUCUUUCGCUAUCGAACAAGGCCCGCUUAGGGUGGGUUGAGGGUAGGUGGAGAAGAAGCGCCGGCUAACUACGUGCCAGCAGCCGCGGUAAUACGUAGGGCGCGAGCGUUGUCCGGAAUUAUUGGGCGUAAAGGGCUUGUAGGCGGCUUGUUGCGCCUGCUGUGAAAACGCGGGGCUUAACUUCGCGCGUGCAGUGGGUACGGGCAGGCUUGAGUGUGGUAGGGGUGACUGGAAUUCCAGGUGUAGCGGUGGAAUGCGCAGAUAUCUGGAGGAACACCGAUGGCGAAGGCAGGUCACUGGGCCAUUACUGACGCUGAGGAGCGAAAGCAUGGGUAGCGAACAGG